UGCAAGAAGAUGAAUCCACUGUGGUUCUUCCUCUUCCUGGUGUCAGCUCCCAGAGGUGUCCUGUCCCAGGUGCAGCUGCAGGAGUCGGGACCCAGCCUGGUGAAGCCCUCACAGACCCUCUCCCUCACCUGCACUGUCUCUGGAUUCUCAUUAAGCAGCUAUGCUGUAUCCUGGGUCCGGCAGGCUCCAGGAAAGGGGCUGGAGUGGGUUGGGGGGAUAUAUGGUGGUGGAAGCGCAUAUUAUAACCCAACUCUUAAGUCCCGGCUCAGCAUCACCAGGGACACCUCCAAGAGCCAAGUCUACUUAUCGCUGAGCAGCCUGACAACUGAGGACACAGCCGUGUAUUACUGUGCGAGAGACACAACACCCUCUUCUGUAUCCUACUAUUUCAUUGUUGUGGAUUAUGUUGUGUCUAGAAAAUUUUGUGUGCAUGUCUGA